CUCAGGGAGGUAGUGACAAGAAAUAACAACACUGGAAAUUUGAUUUCUAGUGAUUGGAAUGAUGGGAAUCCAAACCCCUUUCAGAGUAACAAUUGGAGGGCAAGUCUGGUGCCAGCAGCCGCGGUAAUUCCAGCUCCAAUAGCGUAUAUUAAAGUUGUUGCAGUUAAAAAGCUCGUAGUUGGAUGUCUGUUGGAAGCAAUCAUCAGUCCGCCCUAUUUGAUUAGGGUGUGAAUAUGAUGAAUUCCGGCAUAAUUGUCUCCCUAUUGUUAAUAUUCUGAUUGUUAGAUUCAUUUCUAACAAUAAUACGAUUAUUAAUAAUAAGGGGGAAAUGUUACUUUGAGAAAAUUAGAGUGUUUGAAGCAGGCUUUUGUUGCCUUGAAUACUGCAGCAUGGAAUAACAAUAUAGGAUUUCGGUUCUAUUUUGUUGGUUCUUUUUUUAGGACUGAAAUAAUGAUUAAUAGGGACAGUUGGGGGCAUUCGUAUUUAACUGUCAGAGGUGAAAUUCUUAGAUUUGUUAAAGACGAACUACUGCGAAAGCAUUUGCCAAAGAUGUUUUCAUUAAUCAAGAACGAAAGUUAGGGGCUCGAAGACGAUCAGAUACCGUCGUAGUCUUAGCCAUAAACUAUGCCGACUAGAGAUAGGAAAUUGUCAUUUUACUUGACUU
rnacentral:rRNA from 1 species